CCGAAUGAUGUUCAGGUUUACCUUAGAGGUCACAGGGGGUCGGAUCCUACAAAUCCAGAACAGUUGUGUUCUCAGUCAGCUGCUGAGCGUGUGGCCUCAUAUGGUGCUUCCAUGAUGUCGGAGCAUGGGCAAGACUAUGAUUGGAUGAAUCAGCCUAUCGAUCCUCAGGUUGUGUAUGCUAGUGGAGGCGGAAAACCUCAUGGACGUUACCCCAUGUUUGGUAG